AGGACUCUAGUAAUAAUGCCAUUACACUGCUUUGUCAAGGCAGAGUUGUAGGUUAAAACCCUGCGAGUCCUG
rnacentral:tRNA from 1 species